rnacentral:rRNA from 1 species
AAUUAAGCAUAUCAAUAAGCGGAGGAAAAGAAACUAACAAGGAUUCCCCUAGUAACUGCGAGUGAAGCGGGAAAAGCUCAAAUUUAAAAUCUGGUAGUCUUUGGCUGCCCGAGUUGUAAUCUAGAGAAGUGUUAUCCGCGCUGGACCGUGUACAAGUCUCCUGGAAUGGAGCGUCAUAGAGGGUGAGAAUCCCGUCUUUGACACGGACUACCAGGGCUUUGUGAUGUGCUCUCAAAGAGUCGAGUUGUUUGGGAAUGCAGCUCUAAAUGGGUGGUAAAUUCCAUCUAAAGCUAAAUAUUGGCGAGAGACCGAUAGCGAACAAGUACCGUGAGGGAAAGAUGAAAAGAACUUUGGAAAGAGAGUUAAACAGUACGUGAAAUUGUUGAAAGGGAAACGCUUGAAGUCAGUCGCGUUGGCCAGGGAUCAACCUUGCUUUUCUGCUUGGUGUACUUUCUGGUUGAUGGGUCAGCAUCAAUUUUGACCAGUGGAAAAAGGUCAGGGGAAUGUGGCAUCUUCGGAUGUGUUAUAGCCCUUGGUUGCAUACAUUGGUUGGGAUUGAGGAACUCAGCACGCCGCAAGGCCGGGUAACUAUUACCACGAUCGUGCUUAGGAUGCUGGCAUAAUGGCUUUAAUCGACCCGUCUUGAAACACGGACCAAGGAGUCUAACAUGCCUGCGAGUGUUGGGGGUGGGAAAA